rnacentral:lncRNA from 1 species
GAAAAUCAUAAUGUAACUAGUACAACAUAAGUUACCCACUAUAGGCUUUCUAACAUUAGAGUCAAACAAAUAAUAAGCUGCAAUCUAGGAACUGAGGAUUCAAGAAAGCUUGUUAGUGUAGAAGUCUCAACUAGAACAGUGCAACAAGAUAGGUGGAUAGCAUACCUCAACCUGGCGUUGUAAUGAUUGAGCAUAAUUGAUUAUCUCAUCAAGGACGAGAGCUUAUCCAAUAACCUGUAACCAAACAAAGUCAAACUGGCUUUCCCCACUGCAUUUCAAAAGCAAAUGUUACAUACCAUUGAAAUUGAAUUCACAUUUUGAUGUUAAUUUAUGUGAAGAGAAUUAGAGGUUAAAGUCCCAACAUCCUAGAACCAGCAAUGGGGCUAGAAUGCAAGCAUCUUUAGAGGCAUAAGGUUCACUCUGCUCUAUUUUCUUGAAGAAGUAAGAUGUUAAAACCAGCACAAUUCCUGCACCGAUCAUGUGGCUGGAACUCAGGUAGCUUUAAAGAUAUUAGAUUCAUUAAACUAUAUGUUCCUGACAAAUGGAACAGCAGGUGCAGUUAGAGAGUUCUUUGAACACAAACAAAUGCCUGAUAGCAGGAAGGCUGGUACAUCCCAAUGAUUAACAAAAUUGCAUCAAAACUGAAGGCUAAUAACACCAGGAAAUUGAAGCAGAAAAAAUGAACUGAAAAAAAUAGGCGUGGUCUGAUAGGAGUAGUUAGUUAAACAAACCAAGCAUGUUAAAAUCUGUUGGAUCCAACUUCAAACAAAAGAAGCAACAAAUUAAAACGCGCAAAAAAUUUCUAAGGCAUGAAUUCCACUAGUAUCUGUAUUUUAUCAGUAUAAACUACAAGAGAAUAUAUAACAAAUUGCUCUUAGUUACUUAAUGUUACCCGGGAAAAAAAUGUGAAAAAAUUUAGGAGAUGAGUUAACAAGCAUAACUUACCACUCAAUACCAUCAUAUCAACAUAUCAAUCUGUUAAACCAAAAUAUGCAUAGAUUAGCAUCCAAUCAAGUUGGCUUCAUCAAAAUUUUUGUCCCUAAAAUUACUCCACAGUAAGAGAUCUUAUGGGGAACACAUACGAAUACAAGAUAUAAAAAAUAAGAUGAGUCAAAUGUGAAUACCGUUUCUGAACAUAGCUUUAAACCAAAUAUGAAUAUCAUCUCUAAACAUACCUAUAAACGAAAUAAAUAAGACUACUUAAAGAUGCAAUAUUGUUACCUUUAGAUAAAAAACCAUAUUAAAUAAAAAAUAUAUAUUUGGAUUUGUAUUCAUUUAUUGCUGAAUAAGUAGCAGUAUUUGC